rnacentral:misc_RNA from 1 species
CUCUCUGUUCACCCACACGCUGCCUCAAGCUACGCUGCGCACGCGCACUCAUCCCACGUACACUCACCACCCGCAAAAAAAAACCAAGAAGAAGAACGGCGCACCACUACCACCAAAAGAGUCCCCACGGCGUUUCUUUGCAGAUCGCUGCCACCGCCUCUUUGUGUGUGCUUCCUUUUUUUUUUCGUCUACAUCCUCUGUCGAUCAGCAACGCUGGCUCUUACUAGCCCCAACACCACCCUACCACUUCCGUUCUUCGCAUCAGUGCCGCCGUUGCCUCUACACACAGCCCCUUCCAUAUACACUGCAAUCAUGUACAACAACGACCACAAGGCCACGGUGAAGAAUGCCGACAUGCCGGAGGACAUGCAGGCGGACGCGAUUGAGGUUACGCUUCAGGCAAUGGAGAAGUUCAACAUCGAGAAGGAUAUCGCUGCCUACAUCAAGAAGGAGUUCGACAAGAAGUAUCAGCCGACGUGGCACUGCAUUGUGGGCCGCAACUUCGGCAGCUUCGUGACGCACGACACCCAUUGCUUCCUGUACUUCUACCUCGGCCAGGUCGCCGUUCUGCUCUUCAAGUGCGGGUAGAACUAGCAGUUUUCCUUCUGGAUAACAACAACACUAGGAGGAACUCACGCCGCCGGUUAUCAGAUCCCCUCUCCGCGAUGUGUAACCGAUGCACAUCCACACACAAACACACACACGCACACACAACGGACAGCAAUAGAGCUUGGAGGGAGAGGCGAUAGAGAGACGACCACAAAGUCGUCGAGCGGGGGCGGCACCACUUUCCGUGUGUCGUCUUCGCAGCCGUUGUCGUCCUUUGUCCAUUUUGUGUGCUUGUCCGCGUCGACCUGCGACGUGGGCAUAUCAAAUCACACCGUAGCGUGCCCGCGCAUACACUCUGGAGAACGAAGAGGGAAUGACGACGUCGUGGGCCGCAAGAUGAUGGGAGCUGCUCGGUACACUCCAAUCUUCUUCGACUACUUCUUCUUUACGCGCGCGUGGCUUGCGUGUACGGACGACUGACACGCCUCCGUUCAGUGCUUGCGCGACCAUUUUUUUUUUGUUUCGCGUCUUGAUAUGCUUUUCUCUCCUUUUUCUUGUCGUUUUGUUCUUGUUGGGCCGCUGUUGUGUGUGUGCGUGUCUCUGUCUGCCAUCACCAACCCUCCUCAUCCCCCCUGCCUCUCUCGCUCGUCGCCAGCACGUGCCCGCCAGCGCCUCCGCUUUCUUCUUUUGAUGCCGGUCUUGCGUUCGUGCUUUGAUUGUCUUUAUGAGCAUCAAAUUCGGGUCGUUACCGAGCGAGACUCUCGCCAGUCACACGAGGGGCAAGACAACACUGGCACUGCGGACGUGGACGCUGCGUGACGUGGUCGCGUGUUUUUCGCACAUGAAGGGCACCACUGCACGAGAGCGCAUGCGCAUGGGCGCACAAAAAGUAGCCGUGCAUGCCAAGUUGUGCUCACUGUGCAGAGCAGUGCACGGAGUCGCGCUCGAUGCAGUGACGAAGAGAGAGCGGCACCAUAGAAGAGCGGCUGAGGGGCGGGAGGCGGCGCGGACGAGAGAACACUGCGCGAAAAGGAGAACGAACAAAUGGGCCAUUCAUGUAUUUAGCUUUCUGCCCUUUGGUCCCCUCUUUUGUAUCCGUGUGUAUGCUACGUGUGCGCGCGCGUGUCUGUGUGCAUCUUCUUCGUGUCUUCGUGGCCGGAUGAGGCGCCAAAAGACGAAAAUGAGCACACCAAAAAAAUGCGGUAAGGUGAGCGAAUCGGAAUCGAGUCAUGAUAGCGAAAGGCAGAGAGAGAGUGAGUGAGGGAGGAGAGGCCACGAGGUUCAUUCUUGAAGUAAUCGGACAAGUUGUUCAGAAGAAGCGAAGGCGACGGUGACAGCGAGAAAGGAGGAGGAGGUGGAAGUUGGGAAGGCAGCGUUGAGCCUGUACGGUGCUCUCUUCUCAUCUCCGCCUCCAGCUCCUUCCUGGACGCCUCUCCCUCGUUGACGCGUUUUUCAGUGUUCUUUCUCUUUCUUUUCAUCAUUUUUUGUGAUCUUCCUUCCCCACCCCCGCAACAGCACCCCAUGUUCGUACCUCGCCUGCAACACGAAUCAUGCUAGUCAGGAAUAACAAAAAAAAUGUGAUUUGAAGC